GAGUUUGAUCCUGGCUCAGAGCGAACGCUGGCGGCAGGCUUAACACAUGCAAGUCGAGCGGGCGUAGCAAUACGUCAGCGGCAGACGGGUGAGUAACGCGUGGGAACGUACCUUUUGGUUCGGAACAACCCAGGGAAACUUGGGCUAAUACCGGAUAAGCCCUUACGGGGAAAGAUUUAUCGCCGAAAGAUCGGCCCGCGUCUGAUUAGCUAGUUGGUGAGGUAACGGCUCACCAAGGCGACGAUCAGUAGCUGGUCUGAGAGGAUGAUCAGCCACAUUGGGACUGAGACACGGCCCAAACUCCUACGGGAGGCAGCAGUGGGGAAUAUUGGACAAUGGGCGCAAGCCUGAUCCAGCCAUGCCGCGUGAGUGAUGAAGGCCCUAGGGUUGUAAAGCUCUUUUGUGCGGGAAGAUAAUGACGGUACCGCAAGAAUAAGCCCCGGCUAACUUCGUGCCAGCAGCCGCGGUAAUACGAAGGGGGCUAGCGUUGCUCGGAAUCACUGGGCGUAAAGGGUGCGUAGGCGGGUCUUUAAGUCAGGGGUGAAAUCCUGGAGCUCAACUCCAGAACUGCCUUUGAUACUGAAGAUCUUGAGUUCGGGAGAGGUGAGUGGAACAGCGAGUGUAGAGGUGAAAUUCGUAGAUAUUCGCAAGAACACCAGUGGCGAAGGCGGCUCACUGGCCCGAUACUGACGCUGAGGCACGAAAGCGUGGG
rnacentral:rRNA from 1 species